UUCCGCUACUUGCCACAUCUACCCUCAGGCUUUCAUCGCUGGUCUUCAACAAGUGGGCUUGAUCUGAGCAUGAGGUAAACAGUGGCUGUCAGAGAGACUUGUGACGCACUGCCAAGUCAGGACAGGGACUUUUCUGGCCUUCCAUGCCAAAUUCCUCAAUAUAUUAGAUGUGGCUCCUCAAAGAAUGAAAAUUCAGAGGACCAAAAUACACAUCGUUCCAUGUCUCCUUGCUUCUCAUAAUGCUUCUCCAACAUCGUAUACACCUUUCUUCCUCUGCCUCAGCUCAGAAUUCUUUGUUCUGUUGAGACUUCUGCAUAGCUGAGGACUUCAAAGCCUCUGCUUAAUUUGUGUUUGUACUUCUAAGUACUGAAUGAAGGUGUUUGGUGGAGGCAGGUUCUUUCGAAGUAUUUGUGUAUAAACAUGAAAGUUACAACCUUCUGCUCCUUGCUGCUUUCAUCUUUUCAGGCUCAGAGAUAAAAAUGUAGUUGAGUUUUUGGACUUUACAGAAAGUUUUAUUAAAAGAAUGACUCAGGCUCAGAAGUUCUGCUGAGCUCCUUUUCUUUUUCUCCAUCUCUUGCCUUUUUUUUUUUUUUUUUUUUUUUUUUUUUUUUUUUUUUAAUUUCCCUUGUUACUUUCUCCUGCAAUCGAGCACUGGUAUCAGGCUGUUUUGGUAGAUGCCUUGUUGCACUGUUGCUCUGUGGGGCACCGGGGCUGUGUACCUGGCAGCUUCUUUUGUUAUAGACCCCGAAUCUGACCACUGCACAGCUCCUGUCACCACUGAUGAGGGUGAAGGUGUGAAAAACUGAGUGUUUCAGCAUCAUGUUGCCAGUUCUUCUCCAGAUUGCCAUGGAGAGACACACUAAGGAUGCCUUUCCAUUGACAACAGAGGGAACACAGAUGACUAACUUCAAUAUUGGCUUUUCAGAUCUUUUUUUUCCAUAUUUGAGAGGUAGUUGAGCUCAAGAAAUCUUUCAACACAAAGGUGAGAAUUGGAGCAGGAAUGGCAAUGAUCUUUUUGUACACAGAAACAUGACUUUGAACACCCCACGUCAUCCAGCAACGCAGAAAUAACUUCCCUCUCUGGUUUUCAGAAGGUUCCCAGCUUCCUUUUCUUUCUCUCUUUUCGGGUGGUUUGUCUACUUAUAUGAGGUUGCAUUCUUAUAUUGAUGCCAACUGUAAAGUAGCACUGGCAUGUAAAACAGCACAGUAUUUCAACUGUUGACACUUAUAUGCCUAGGUUAUAGUGCCUGGUAACUGUAAAGAUGUUAAUGAUAAAACCAGAGUAGGAUCAGGGACUCACGAGUCUAUGCAUUUUAUUCACUGCAUCACAGAAAUAGAGCAGUGUUAUAUAUGGAGGUCAGUGACAUACAAUACUUAUUUUGCUGAACCUUCCAUUAGUCCCAAUUUUCUUUUCGUCUUCCAACCAAAAUCUCAGCAAUGAGUGUCCUAGUUGCAAAUAUCAUCUCUUUGGAGAAAGAGGAAAUUAUCAGACAUCAGGAUAUUUGUGAGUGAAUCACCCUAGUUACUUGUAGGAUGAGCCUCAUACGCAUAUGGCUCCUCUUGGAAGCUUACUUGCUUGACUUGACUUUUGUGUCAGCUGGAAUCUGAUAAGUUAACUGUUAAUGACUUGUACCAGUGCAAUUGUUGGUCUUCCACCACUCAUUCCUUAUGAAAUAUUGUCAAAAGUUUACUGCUCCAAAAGCUAUACAGAGCUAUACUUUUAUCUUUUUUCUAAUGCUGAGCACAGUAGCUAUAAUAUAACCUUUCUGUGCUUGCAAUAAACCUCACUGAACUCCAUUACAACAAAUCUCAGUGCUUCACUUCAAGCACUUAAUUUGUACGUAGAGAAACAAACAAACAAACAAAAAAUCCCAACUAAUAUCCUGCAAAGUGAUUAACUCUUUUGUGUUAUUGCCAAUGUGACAUUCAUCCACAGACAUCCCAUAUUUCCUGGGAUUAAAAUACUGGCCAUGCUAAUUAGAAUGGGCCAAGGAUGUAGGAUAUCAGGCAGAAUUUGCAGCACUUUCCUUUUAAUGAAUAUUUUAAUGAGGAUUUUCCAUGUUCAAGUUCUAUCACCUGUACUGACAUGAAAGUGCAGUGCAAGCUUUCUUUUGAAGUCCACUAGGAUUUCCUUAAAGUUAUGGUCAGAUAAUUUCAUUGCUUGCAACUAUCAUCUCCCAGGUGAGAGGAGUCAAUUUCCUGCAUACAUUUGUGCAGACCAUUUCCAGCAAAUGUUGUUUAAGAUAUCCCUUUUUAUUCUGCAUUACAAGAUGCUGGAAUCACGGCAGCUUUCAAUUUCUGCAGUUCAGCUAAGAGUAGGUAAGUUCUUUAAAUAUGUAUUAGUAUAAAUUCAAUAUAUAUUGAUGUAAAAAAUGCUGGUUGGUUACUUGGUACCUGUGACCCUCCCUUUGCUAUCUGCUGUUACAAAAUCCUUAGAAAUCUGAGUUGUUGUUGAAAGAAAUGCCAUUGAGAUUUUUUUCUUCCCCAUUGAUUUUUCUGAAUUCCUCACAUUGCACUUGGUUGAAAAUCUCUGUGGUCUCCGGGGUUUGGGGCAUGAAGGAUUUGUAAGCCUGUAAAUCAAUGUGAUGCUCAGCAGAGGUACUGCAAUUCCUCACUGAAGCCCACCUCCUCUCUGACCUCAGUCAGCGUCUGGACAGCAGUCAGUCAUAUAGGGCACAUUAAAGGAUUAAGGCCUUAAUGACAAUUUUUAAAUGUCAUUAUUAAAUGGGGACUUCCAUCCUGCAGAACACUUGAAAAAUAACAUUUGUAAAUGUUUCCUGAGCACCGUAUUCCCUUUUACAUUAUUUCAUCUAUUUGCAUGCUAGUAAGAAUUCAUCUUCCUUUCUACUCAGUCUCUGCUUGAGCAGUUCAACAAUGAAUUCACAAUUCUGAGUUUUGUGCUGUCAAGAUUUUACUUAUAUUUUUAAAAAAUAAUAUCUCAAUAAUUAAUUACAGAUAAAUUAUUGACAAAGCAGCAGCAGAUGCAAAGGAUGAGUGCUCUGUAUCUGAGAAGCUUUUCAAGCAGUUAUCUUUGCAAUAGCACUGAUCUAUAUACAUUUUAUACUCUCUUUUCAGAAAUAAAUCCGCAGCUCGUCUGGCAUUUGUUGCUUCAUGUGAUACUACAAACUACUGAGAAAAAUCAGCAUUUCAUCUCCAAGUAUUUCCUUAACCAAUAUACAUGUCUGUUAAAAAUAUCUCCUAAGAGAAAAAUACACCAGUGUAUCUACACUUUGCUUCUCUGAAGAAAGCUCUGCAUAUUUAGGGAGCAUAGCUUUGCUAUCAGAGACACUGUCAAGUUAACUACAGAUACAUAAUUCUGAAAUGUUCUGCUCGUUUAAAAAUGUCUGAAUGUUCAUAUAUCAUUAGUAAGAAUACUGCAGUUAAUUAGUUACAUAGUUAGUUCAAAAAUGUUGUUGAAGCUUCAGUGCCAGCUAAAAGAAUGUUUUCAGGCUCUUUUCUCAGCUUUGUGAGUUUCUGUGCAACUCUAAGCCUCAGUAAGUUUUUGGGUAUGCAGUGUUAAUCUGAAGUAAUGUGAGUUAUGCCGACUCCCUCUUGAGCUACUGACCCAAGGCUGGAAGGCACCUCCGGAGUUAUUCAUUCCAACCUCCUGCCCGAGGUGGGUUCAAUGCCAAGUGCAGGUCAGGUUGCUCAGGGCUUUGGGCUGAGUAUGCAGAGUCCACAGACUUUCUGGUUCCUUGCUUCAGUGCUUAAUCCUAAUGAAGAGCUUUUUUUUUCCUCAUGUCCUUGUGAUUAUUGUCCCUCACCCUUUAAUUGUGCUUCUACAGGAGAAGCAUGGCUGCCUUUUCUGUAAUCUCCUUUCAGGUAGCGAAAGAGAACAACCCAAUUCCUCACCAGCUUUCUCAACUCCAGUCUGAGCAUCCCUAGUGCUUUCAGCCUCUCUGUGUUCAGGAUGUGCUCCAAUCCAUGCUGAUGGACUUUGGCUGGGCUCUCCCCCAGGAUGUCAGCAAACCAAGUUAUAUCUUGUUGGUCCCAUCAGGUAUGAGUGUGCACACUUGCUGUAACUCAGGUGGCGCACACACCGGUCUGGUAAUCUGUGAUAACCAAGCAAUGCUAACCAGUUCCAGAAACAUGCAUAGUUUUCUUCCAGAUCUCCAAAUCAGACUGUAUCAAUAUACUCUGCUACUUCGUAUCUCUGCAGAGAAAUGGCUUUGAAGGGCUAAGUGUGGCAGACAGAGUCUUCCUCUUUAGCAUGAAUGUAAAAUAUUUAAGAGUUUAGACUAAGGAAGUAAUUUCAGGGCCUAGUUCACCAUUACAGCUCUCCUCAUGAAGAAUCCAUCUUCAAAGAGAUACUCCAAGGCCAGGGAUGCCAAAAAGUAUAUUUCCAUUGACUUCUGCACACUUUGAUUUCUGUUCUAAAGACAAUCCAAUUUUCAACUAAGCUAUCAAUUGCAUUUGGUGGAAAACAUGGGCCAAUUUCCCAUUUCAUCUACCUCAAGGAGAGAGGGCUGCACAGCUGGACUUCUGUUUUCAUGAAGCAGAGCAUAAAAACCACGCUUCUUGUUAACAACACCAAGAGCUCUGCAUGGGGAAAUGAGCUGCCUUCGGAAAGGCACAACUCAUGUUUUAGCCUCAGAAUCCUUUUCUCUUCUAAAGGUCGCAGUGCAAUUUUAAACUCAGAAUAUUGCAAUGCAUUUAAAUGUCUGAAAUCUAGGGUAAAGAAGAUUUACUAAUAUGAAAUAGAAAUGAAGGAAUCACAUCUACCUUCCUUCCGCCAGAACUGACUCAUCCCAGGAAUAACAAUUUCAAGCACUGGGAAAAUAAAAGUGGCCUUUUGGUGCCGUAACCUUAAACUUGAGACCUUGCUGCUCCUCACUGUACAGAGGGGUGAUAGCCUCUGUAAUAAGAGGGCUGUGUUGGUGCAUGAGGAGAGAGCUGUGGGUUUGUUUAUUGUGACUUUAACAGGUGACUUUCAACACUGUCCACUGUCAUUUCCUCAUAGGCAAACUGACAAAGCAUGAGGCAGGUAAGUGGAAAGUGAUAUGGGAAAAAACUGGCUGGACAGAAGGCCUGGAAGUACAUUGUAUGAUAUUGGGUAUUCUAUAGAGGUCAUUAGGAACUGAUAAAUCCUUAAUACUGCUUUGAGAGAAAUUCAGAGCAAGACUUUAUGGUAACUGAGAACAUUUUUUAUAGCACAAGAUUAUGAUAGACAUAUAUUAAUUUUUCUCUAUGAAAAUUCAAGCUUUUAUACAAACAAUAUUUUCCAAGGAAAUACUUUGUUGAAGUAUUUGGAUCUUACAUAUAAACAUACCAGUUGUUCUAUCUAUAGGACAUUAAAAAACAGCAAAAUACCCUCAUGACUAUAUUUCCUUAAUAAAAAAAUUGAUGAAAUUGUAACUACGUAAGCAUGGGUGUAUUGACUUUUAUUCCUAACACAGAUUUAACUGCAAAGGCCUGGUAAAAUAGAGAUCAAAGCAUCUACCAAGCUGCUCACUUAGCUCUGUAAAAGCACAUACUUAGAAGACAUAAGAAAAUGAUAGUAAAUAGAGAUUUACAAUGUAACUUGUAAUGGAAAUGUAAUUGGGGGUUCACUGUACUAAAUCCUGUUGAGGAGAAAAAGCCUUGGACUCUGCCUGGAGAGAGAACAGGAUGAAAGACAGAGUUUUAUUGCACUUUUGCCUAAAGAGAAGGUGAAUAACCGAGUCACACCAGAAAUCUGAAUCAGUACUGAAUAUGAAAGCUGGAUCUGAUUCCUCAUCUGAUGUCCUCAUGCUAAAACAGUCUUUCCUUGUUUUAUAAAGGGAAGGGGAAAAGCUAUAUUCCAAAUUACCUCUGCACUAUGCACUUGAAUUAAGGAACAUAAAGGAGUGUACUGCACUGUGCAAGCAGCAGUGGACUGGCAUGAAGAUAGAUGGUGUCUGAGAUGAGAUGGGGUGAAGAGAAGAAGCAAGAGGGUUUUCUCCAUUGCAGUGAGUCAUGUAAAGCAAGAAAGCACAAGUAAGCUGAGGAUUUUUUCCUUUCUUUUUCAGCUGCCACAAAGAAGCCAUCUCAAUACACACAAUUAAAGCAACCUGGACUCCUUCUGUGCACAGGGAGCGAUUGUUUCUUGCUUGCAGAGGGAAAUGCACACACACGUGCAGGCACACACUUAAGAAUGGUUAAAAAAUGUCAUAUUUGACUUCCUGGCCCGCUUGACAAUUCUCUUCAAAAAUAGCCCUCAUGGCUGCAGGCUGGCAGAGCUGCUCCUGCCCUGAUUUAAAUGACAAAACUCAAUUAGAGUUUGAAUCUGUUGCACUGAAAUGGAAUUGUCUCUUGCAGGCAGAGCUCGGUCACGGAUGCGACGUCGGGAGCUGUGGAGGCUGUGCCUGUGGGGAGGGCAGGCUGGGGAGCCUCUGAGCUCCUCGGAGCAUGGAUUUCCCAUCUGCUGUUGCUCUGAAAAGGGAACUCCAUUGCUGUUCUCCACAUGUAUACAAGGACCUGCUGCUUCUUGUCAGCUUUUUCUGUCUGACCACCUCCAUGCUUGAGGAAGCCCAGGGGUGGCAGUGACCUGAACUCGACUAUGUUCAUGAGGACAACCUCCCUUAGAUUUGCCCCUCUGGCUUUGUACAAACCUCUUUCCCCUCCCAGGCACUUGUGAUGAUUUUGGCUGAGCUGGAGCUAAGGCAGUGGCAAAAUGUUUGACUUUCUGGUAACAAGUUCACUACAGGAGAUUCCCCAAUCCCUCACUGCAGUCUCAUAUCUCUCCUUGUCCCACAGCAGGCUAUUUCCAGACAUGGAGGGAGGCACUUCAAUACUGCCUCUGCUCCUUGUAGAUCUGAGCUCACCUCAGCAUUUUUCUCAUCAGCAUGCAUUGAGAUGUAUGUCUAGGAAUCAAUGACUGCCCCAUGCCUCUCUUAUCUGGGAUCUCAGCCUAACCCUGGUCUAUAAGUCACUUGUGUUAAACUGUUCCUCAUAAAUAGCAGCUUCCAGCAUGUCUUUCAUCUGUAGCUUGUAUUUGUGUGUGAGAGGCAGAAAACAGGUCUAAUUUAUUUCAGUGCAGCUGGCUCCUCUGAUCUGCCACCUGGAGACUCAGCUGACCAGGAUGUGUGUCCUGGCAAAGGGGCCAGGACUCUGCUCCGUCUGGCUGUGCCUAUCUCUGCACUGGCCAUGGGGCAAAAGUACCCCUCACCCAUCCCUCAGGAACCUGCUGGACCCACCUGCAGUUGGUGCUGUGGACCACAAGAAGGAUGCACUUCUCCAAGCAGCGCAGCAGACUCCAGUGAUCCUCUCCCAAGACUUGCAGUACAGAGAUUUAAAUGAAUUUAUGGAGAAAGACGAGGAAAAUGGCUCAUGCGUUGGUGGGAUGGAGUGGCAGGCAGGCAGGGCCUGCCAGUAGAUGCCUGACAUACCUGGGGUUGUGUAUGUCCCUUGAUGAACGUCAGAGCUCCUCAGUGAGGAGGGAAGUUGUUCUCACCGGAACAAAUCCCACUGAGAUGGGCAGAGGAGAUUUACCCUGGACUACUCUUUUUUUUCUAGAGAUAAAAUCACCUCAAGUGCAAUAUAGGAGGGGUCAAUGUGAAAAUGAGCCAAUUCACCCCUGCGCUGUCCCAGGAGAGGACAAACUCUUCAUUUUAACCUACGAGGAUGUGCCCUAGGGCCUACCUGCUGCUGUCUGACCUUCCAGACAAUCAAAAAUCAACUCAAAUCUCAAGACCUGGCUAGCUCUCUUGGAGACUCUGAAUGAGAGACGGGGUAGAUAAACUCAGUGUGGUAUUUUCCCUCUUUGCAUACUCCUGGAACUACAAAACCAGUUAAAAGGAAGAGAGUGGACUAGCCAAGAAACAGAAACAGUGAAACAAAGCCCUGGCUGAUGUCCAGUUCCACGUGACAGGUAGGGCAAGUUGUGUGCCCAGCCCCCUUCAUGCAAGUGGACGGAUCCCCGACGAGCACCUCUCCUUGGCCAGGACGUGGUUUUUCAGCCUGUGGGUGUUCCUAGAAGGCGAGAUGGGAGGAAUGGAUUGAUCCGAGUUCCCCUUGGUUUGCUCGUCCUCCAGAGGGGUCCUCCCUCCUGUACGCUGGGAGAUUUGCACUGGAGCUCUGGCCCUGGUGUUACCUGUUAUUAAUUCGUUGAGUUCCAUGAACAUAUUUUGCGUUCUUGCCAGAAGAGGUCCAAACCUCAGUAACUUAUUGCUUCAGCCAAAAGAAGUCUAUAAAGAGUCAGUUUACUUAUAGAAAUCCUGUUGAUACUAUUUUUUUACCUGAGCAAAACAAACAUAUUUUUCUGAAAGGAAAAAACACCCUUUGGCCGAACUGUCAGAUCUCUGCAGUCUAAAAGUUCAGGCAGCUUUUCUUUGGGCAAUAUUAGAGCCACAAUGGGCUGUUCCACGCAACGCUUUGUGUACCAACCUUUGCAAUCUUUGUUACAAAAGGAAAAAUGGUGAGUAGAGAAGAGGAAAGGAGAGAAGGUUUUACCAACCACCUUUUUCUUUCAUAAAGUAGGAGUUAUAUUUAUUCCCUUCUGUAGUGCUCUAAGCUUUUCUCCUUCACCUGCAAAACACCUAAAUCUCUUUAAGGCUGCAGAUAACCCCCUUCACUGCAGUAUCUCCUUAAGGGAAGCCACCUUAGACAGGAGGAUGUUUGAAGAACCGGGAGUCCUGCUCCAGUGGACUCCCAAGACACAGAGUACUGUUUUCUUCUGACAUUCAUCAACCAUUGUAUAAAAGUGUCCAGGAAUCCUGGUCAGUGUAAAUGACUACAGGACUUCAUUUAUGAUGUCAUAGGUAUUCUUCUUCCUCUUUUUAACAGUCUCAGAAAAUGUGAAGCCAGAAUGGACUAUUAAAUCAUCGUGAUUUGCUCUCUGAUGUGUAAUGUCUUCUAUUACGUAGGCAUUAAUCUCCAGCAGAUACCACCCGCAAGGUAAAAAGAUGUCAUCAGAGCUAAGAAUGCUUUAAAACUACAAUGGAGGAAAAAUGGGUAGAAAAUACUUCUGAAAAGACGUCUCCCACUGAUAAAAAGGUAAGUGUCAUCCUUCCCUUCCUUCAUUCAGAUCCUGUGGUCUCCAAGACCCUGAGAAUCCAAACAGGUAAUAUGACUGAAUCAUCUAACUACAGUGCAAGGGAGCUCUUGUUUUCAGUCAUGUCCGUAAGCGUCAGCAGUGUGUCAGAAUCUGUUCUUUUCCUAUUUAUAACCUGACAAAUGGAAUCUUCCAGUAUAUGUAAUAUAUUCACAAGGCUAGGAGGAGGUUAGGAGGCAGAUGCGUGUUUUGGAACUUCCUAUCCACCAAACUAGCCUGUUCUAAUAAUUUAAGGUGUUGUCAAACCAAGUAAAAUGAUUCCCAUGAUGGUGCUGUGUAUGCGUCAGUUUCUACUGGAACAACGUAGUCUGCAUUUUGGCUGCUUAGGAUUGGAUUUUUAUAAUAUUUCUCCCCCUGUCCCGCUCCCACAUUGCAGUCAGCAUGAUCUUAUUUGAUCUGUACUGGCAAUAUAAAUGCAAGAAUGAGGACAUGUUUUAGCAGCCCCUUUAGCUUAUAUUGAUGACACUUUUAACCUGAGCCUUUUCAUUAGCACCCUACCAAAAUAUUUGGAUUGGAAUUUGUAUAGGAACUGUUGAAUCACAGCCUGAACCUCUGAUCGAUCUCCUGAGGCAAGCACUGAGUCAGUCACAGGACCACAGGUGAAGGCAAUUCACCUGUGUGAACAGAAGGGGUGUAGCCUGGCUGCACCUCUCCUAGACCUAGAUUUAAGGGCUGACUGCCACCAGGAAAGGAUCUGUUCCUGGAGAUCAUUCCCUUUGGAGUUUUUCUGUGAGCCCAGGAUACAGUAAGUAAGAAAAUACCCCAAGGACACUGGAUCUCAGCAUUAAAUCCAAGCCUCUGGAAACAGCCUCCAUAAGACAAACAAGGAAAGAAAGAAACCCCGCUGUCCUGCCAAGGGCAGCCACGUGCUUCCAGUGUCUUCAUUCUCAGAGGGAAUGCUGCUGUCACCAGGCAGAGCUGUGCUAGGAGGAGAGCAAUGAAGCCUCUUUGGACCAACCUGAUGUCUCUGCAGCUGGAUAGGUGCAAAUCAUGGCUCUUCUGUACUUUUCCAUAAACUAAGGUGGGGACUAUUUACUGAGCUAUGGGCGAAUUAUUAUAGCAGCUAAAAUAAAAUCAAAGCUGUGAUUUCCCUUUUCAAAGCACGCUGCAGGCUUUGUUCACUUUCCCUGAUAACUUUAUUCCAAGGCAAUACUAGUGACUUUAGGGAAAUCCCUGUGAUAAUCGCAGAGUCAGACAGUAACACUGCCAUUUUACACAUAAAAGGGACAAGUACUGACCAUGGUGUCACAUACAGAAUGGUUUCAGCUGUGUUCUUUCACUUCCUUUUCAAAAGAGAGUUGACUUUGGUGAUCAGACAUCAGACAAACAUGCCCCAACUUUCUCUCUGCAUCUGUGGCCUACUCAGGGGAUCUCCAUUCUGUAUGGAUGCAAAAAGCCCUGAAAGAGUAUUCAGAGGCUUAAAGAAUCAUUUUUUUUAAGAGUCGGAAGAGAGACCUGUGAACUGUUUUAAUGAUUUUUCAGUUUGAACAGAACCAGGUGCUUGAUUAAAAUCUCAGCAGCUGGCAUUUCAAAAACCUCACUGUGGACGUGAUCUAUCCACAAAAUACAGUGAAAGAGAGAAGAAAGAACAGUUUCUAGACGAGGGCUUUGUUUAUGCUGAGAAAAUAGGCAGAUGUGAUGGCUUCCACAAUGCUGUGGGUAAAGGUCCUCUGAAGAGGUAAGAUGGCAUCUGGUACAGCAGGAGGGGACACCGACCUUGUGUCCCACUCCUGGGACUUGGCAGGAUGCGGGGUCAAUUGCAGUCAGUGCGUUUCACAGGAGUUCUCGCUGAUGUACCUGGGAUCACUUUUCUCUGUGGUGGAUGAAAUAAGCCUGUGACAGCUGGAGAGGGAUUGCACAGAUUUAGUUUCUUAGGUAAACUAUUACCAACACUCAUGGUGCUGAGACUUUAUGGAGUAGUUCCUGAAUGAUAACAAGAUGCCAUUUGAUUUUAAAUCACUCUCUGUACAACACUGCCAGCAGUGCGCACAAGAUCUACGGGCAGUUAUCCUAGCUGAAAAUCAGAGCCAAGCUGCGGAAUGAAGACAGGAAAGCCCACUUCACAGAGGACAGGGAUGAAACCUCAUAAGUCAUCUGUCAGGGGGAGCUGAGCCCCAGCACGAUGUGAUGUGGAGGUGUGGUACGUGACAUCUGGGCACUCCCACUGCGCUGCUGGCUGCAGCCAUCUGGUGGGUAUUUUCCUGUCUUUCAUUUGGCUGCUCUUCCAAACGUCCUCAUACAACUUUUUAAAGUUACUAAUCUGGCAAAUUCUGUUUCCUUGGGUAUUUCUGACUGUCUCUGUUGCCAUAAAUGUGAGAAGACUGUAAGUGCCAUAGGAUGGAUCCAUAUGCUACCCAGCAGAUAUCACUCCAAGACAGCUGGGGUGGGUUUCUUAUAUGCUGUGAUAGUUUCUAACUUUUGCCAGGAAAUAUCAAUUGGUGCUUGACGUGUUAAACUGAAAACUCAGAACAAAAUUCAGCAAAGAAAAUAAAAUACUAUUUGGUGAGUAAUUUGAACAUCAGCUAUUAUAAAAUAUACUACUUUUAGAAAGAAAAAUCAUCUCAGCUUGUCUAUUUGCUAUCAGUCUCUAUUUUCUGAGUUUUCAUAGAUGUAGACUAAAAAAAAAUCAUAAAAAUACACUCAACAAAACAAACAAAAAAACCCAAAGCAGCUUUGCUUUUAAUGCAUCGGAAAGUCCAGCAAAAGAAUUUGAGUUGAAACUUUAAAAUCAUUUAAUUGAUACUACUCAAAAUUUAUAAUUGAAUACACGAUUCAACCUAAAUUUCUACUUUCUUUUAAGGUAUAUUUGCUAUAUGCCAUUCCAAGAGACUUCUUAAAAUAUGCAAAUUUUUUUCAACUUCAGACUGAAUUUAGUAUUUAUUCUGAACCGUUGAUGGUUUGGAUAGGUUAGCUAUGAAUUACAUUGUCAUUAGAUUUCAAAAUCCAGACAAUCUGUGUGAACAACAUCAGUGAAAUAUAGUAUAUUAAAAUCCUAUUGUUAUUCAUAGGUUGAAUACUCAGUGGAUGGGCCAAAACCGUUACAAUUUCAGUGAAGUCAGUUCAACUUGGGUCAAUUUACUGUUUUUUUUUUCCUUUAACACAGUGUUGUCUUGCUUUCUUUUCCAUGAAACCUCUCAUGCUGGCCUCCAAAUUUCUUGGCAGAUUUUUUUUUCUCUGAAUUCUACAGAUCCUCUCUCUCUCUAUAUUUUUUUCAGGGAGUUAAACACAAGCUGUAGCAAACUCAACAUUGGGCAAAUACUAAACAGUAUACAAUAGAAAAAUGCAAUGAGAUGGGUGGUGUUUGCAGUUCAAGAGUAAAAAAAAAAAAUACAUCUAUGCUUUGCAUAAAAGAUUAACAGCUUGAUCCUGUUUUCAUGGUGUCAGUGGGAGUUCUGCCACCAUUCAGCAAGGGAGGGAUUAGAUCCUUGAGAUAUUUGAUGAAAUGGUUUGGCCAAGGAUUAUACCCUUGAAUAUGCAAAAGCACACAAAAACUGCGGCCAAAAUAGACUCGAAACUUAGUACCUGUCUCUGGUGGCUGAACAGUAUGUGAGAUCCUGUUUUGAAACCAGGGCUGUUCUCUGUAAUUCAUUGAACAGGUUUGGUAGAGAGAGCGCAGAACAUUUUUUCCACAGGGGUAUUUGAUGGAAGGUUCAAAUACACAAAGCCAAAGAACUUAAAAUGGAUCUCAAGUCAUGACCUAGGGGCUAUGCUUUACUUGUACAGGAAAGCCUUAAUUCUUCCCACUUUCUUAGCAGGCUCCUUCACCAUUGAUCUCUUAACUUCUUCUAGAACGGAUGAAAUAAACCUCAGAGACAGCACAAUUAUGCACAUUUUAAGAUACAGAGAUUUAUAAAGCAUGAAGAAAAUUAUACUUUGAAGAUCUUUGCAGAGCUGUGAUUGUAAGAUCUACGGAGGGAUAUAUGCAGCUGAUGUGUCCCUAUGGCGUUUGACUGUUUUCAAGUCAUUGUUAUGAAGAACGUUUGCAGAAAAAACCUUGGCACUUGAUCUGAUUUCUCACAUUUCCCCCUCUGAACUCCACGCCCCUGAUGAAGAACCAGACAGGAACGGGACCGGCUGCUCUGUAUGGAGGAGGGCUACAGAGCAGUCUGUGAGAUGGUUCGCAUCACCACUUGCUGUACUGAAGGCAGCAGACAUAGAUGUUAAGCUCAGUGAAAAGAAACUGCAAUGCAGUGCAUCAGCAUCGGGAACAAUAAACAUAAAUCUGACACCUAAUAGUUCUUUCAGAGAAUUGAUUUAAAGUCUGGAUUAUUUCCCAUCCCGGGCAUGCAUCAUAUCCCCCAGCAGCAAACUGAAGGAUGUACCGUGACCCUAGUUACUACAGAAAUGUUCAUGGAUCAGAGACCCUGCAGUCAACCUUCUUGUUCUGACCAAUCAUUAACCAGGAGGAACAUUGUGGAGCUGCCGCUGCUUUUUCCUGAGUUACUUUAACAGACUGACCACAGGCAUGUUCCUUCGUCCUUAGAAGAGUUCCAGAAGAUUAGUCAGCUAAACCUGACAAGGCUUCUGGGAAGCUGGAAAGGACUUGGCUCAGCAUAUUAGGAACUAAGUGAUGAUGACAACCCUGUGGAUUUGUUCACUCCAUCCUAAAGAGGACUUCCCGUCAUAGUACUUUGUGCAUGGAUUUAGGAAAAUUUGAAUGAUUCAAGUAGAGAUCCAUGCGUCUCUCUGGCAUGUACUCCCCGAGGGAGCUGCAAUCAAAACUCCAGGGAUGGAAAGCCAGAGACAGAACCACAUGGAUGAAGCUCUGCAUUGCUCGAGAAUACCUCCUUCAGACACAUCAUCUUCUUCCCCUGCACUUGUCUUUCACGUACUUGAUUCUGGCAGUGGCAUUAUGAAGAACUACAGGACUGAAGCAGUAAUGACACUGCAUUCCCUGCAGAACAAAGAGCUGCUUCUGCCACGCUGUGCGUUGUGUUCCAUGACAGGCUUAUCCAGCAGAACCAGGGAAUAACCUAACCGGACCGAGACUGCAAAGAAACGCAGUCCUGAAAUGAGCAAGAACUGGAUUUAACACCCAAGUUUUCCUAGUGAGAAAAGUACCUCCAAAAAUUAAACCAAACCAAAGGUGACCUGUGUGUCUUGUGCAAGGAGGAUCAGCUCUGCUCCAGAAGCCACGGCUGUUUCACUGACUGUGACAUAGCGAAAACUAAACGGCUGGCAUAUCAGCCCACCAACAGACAGAUCACAUGCCUUCCACCAAUGAAGUGAGCUAUCUGAUGCUAGCCUUGCUGAAGCUUCAAGUCCCUGCUGCUCUCCCUUUCUUCAGAGAGAACUCCUGCCGGGUUGGUGAUGUUUGCUCACUCAUUGAAAUCACAGAGCUGGUCCACAGCUGCACAAGUUUCACUGCUGGGAGGCUGCCUUCUGCUAGUCGAGUACCAUGGGAAGGAUCAAGUGGAGGAGAGCUGCACUAAUCAGAAGACACGCUGUCUGGGAAGCAAGCCCAUUUUGUUCUUCCAGAAUCCCUCCCACUGCAAGCACCAGACCUCAAAAUGACCCAGAGAAAGCCUCUCCAAUCCAAGUAAUUUAAAUGCAAUGAAUGUGAUUUGGCUUCUAGUUAGUUCCCUUGGAAGUAAUGAAAGAGGUAAUUAAAGACUGGACAACUACCUUAAGUAAAACAUUACACCUUAGAGCAAAAACAUUUCAGAAAAAACUGUUUGGAGGCUGUGAAAGCCAACUCCAUGCCUGCCUGAGUGGGGAACACAGCAUCUUUCUGUAGGUCCCACCACACUUCCACACACAAGCUGUGAAAAGAUCAGAUAAGUGGUAAGAUUUUCCUACACUGUCCUUUCCACCAACAUUACUUCUGACUGCAAGCUGCAGUUUUUCCUCAUCCAGUCCUCCUAUGCUGUCCUGAAACACUUGCCCUGAACUUCUAGCAGAAGAGUCAGGGAAAAGAAAAUGCUGAAACUACGUUUUACAGAUUAUGACUUGCAUCUGGAGAAAGUGGAUCACCCUGGUUAAAGGUCUGACACAGAGUGAAAAAGAGUCACCCAGGAGCACCUUCGACAAGUGAAUUUGAUUAGCGCCUUGCUUUUGAGGAAGCACAAGUAUUACCAGCCCCAAAAAAUACAUCCUAACAAUUUAGUGGAUGGUGCUUCUGUGAUAACAACAGAACAGGUAGUAAAUUUCUUCUCCAAAUUAAAGUGGAACAACAUCUGCUAUUCAGUCAACAAACAGUGCCUUCUAUAAGAUCCUAAAAGCAAUUUCUCAAAAAAAAAAAAAAAAGUAAAAUAUCCCAAACCACUUUAAGUAUAUUUACCAAGGUGAAGAUAAAAAGCAGCAUAACUCUAUCUGUGCACACAUCAGAGCAACAACCCAACCACCACAUAAUUUUAUUAAAGCACAUAAUGAGUGCUCAACUAAACUCUCUAUAGUAAUUCUGAGUAUAUCUUUGCUCACUCAACAUUUGUCCAUAAACAAUGGGUGCCUAUGAUCAGUUGAAGUGAGCAGUACCAGGACUAAUUCAUUUACAGCAUUCAGCUUCAACCCUUGCAGUUAAUUCUACACUACAGACUGCUUUACCAGCCCAUAGCACAUCUUAACUAGAACAGGGACUUUGAAAUGCAGUUUUGCUCUACCACCAGCAAUUAUUUCUGUCCUUAUGGUAUGCUUUAUCAGCUGCAUAUGAAGCAUAAGGAACUCAUGGAAUCUCAGAAAAAGCAAACAUCACAGUAGAUCUUUGUAAGCAAGCUUAAUGCUAUGACGCAAUGGAAAAUACAGCAAUAAUAGCAGGAUGACACAACUCUAGGCUGCAGCAAAUGAGAACAAGCUCAAAAAACAACAGCUAUAAAUGCAGAAACAAAAGAAGAAAAACUGCUUACCUGUAGAAGACCUUCAGUAGACAGGAACCUCCCACAGAAGAUACCUUUACCUCCGCUGCCAACCCUUAAAUGAGGUCUGGGAGGGGAAUGGAUCCUGGCUCCACCCCUUCUCGUCACUCAGGAGCAUUGCAUGCACCUGAGCUCCCCUGGAUUGGCCCUGCCUUCCCACCAGGUGCUCAAUCACCGUUUCAGGUCAUGACAUUUCCACUACAUCAGGUAUGAGUGUUUUGGAGAACUAUCGUUUGAAGAAUGCAGCUGCUUUUCACUGGUUGGUAUCUACAUGUGUAUGGAGUUCUGUGCAGUGGUUGAAUGUGCAGCGCUUCGAGACCUUUCGGUACGCGGGGAGAUUAAGGAACCACAGAGCUUGAGAGAGAGGAGUUUGCAUCCCUUGUGAGAAUUCUGAUAUCCCUGUGUUCAUAUAUGUUGAUAUUCUCUUCUGAAUGGUGACCUGUUUACGUUGGAUGGAGCCUAAAGACCCAAAGACCCUGGAUAUCCUUGGACUGAGUUGCUUAAGGACACGUUGCUUUCCAAAGACCCUGAAGAAUGGUGUGCUACCAAGGAUUUUUCAGUCCCAGCUGGCAGCGGAGGGGCGGUCUGACAAAAUGGCACCUGACAUGGAACUGUGGAUGAGGAAAAGGUGUGGAAUUGAAUUCUUCCAUUCAGAAAAAAAAAUGCAUCUAUUGAAAUCUUGGUAUGUCUCUGGCUAUAGCACUGUCACCCUCUGGGCCAUGAAGCAGUGAACUGUUUCGCUACUCAGUAGCAAGGAAGUUAAGUUUGUCUAUCCUGGUGAGAUUUGAGGAGAAAAUCUGUUGCUGAGGACAAGAAGUGCCUGUAAGUUUGCCGGGCAGGACAAAUAUGAGCUCCCAUCUAUUGUGCUGGCCGUAGGAACAGACCAUCACCUCUCCCUUUCCCAGACUAAGCUCCAAUUAAUUUCCACUCAGAGGUAAACUCUGAUACUCGGAUACAGUGAACAAAUACAAGUAUUCAGACUGGCUCCUUUUAGGAGUAUGUGCAGCGGAACAGCUCUGCUCCCCCAGACAAAAUACUUUUUAUGUGAAGUAGGCUACAAUGAAAUUCAGUGACUCUGUUUCUUAGUAGCAGCAUCCACUAGGCAUUGUACUAAAUUUUAACAACGGAACUUAAAAUACUUAUUCAGAUUGGUGCUUCUGACUGUCCGUACAUUGCAAUGUCUGCAAUUAAAAUACAAAAGUAUGAGUAUUGAUUGCAAAAAUAACAUAUAGAUAGAAUAGAAUUCAUAUAGUUCAGAAAAUACUUAAGGUUUGUACAGUGAUGUGACUUUCUGAGGCAUCUAUGGUUAGUGGGCAGUAUUGGUGGCAGGUGGACGGUUGGACUAGAUGGUCUUAGAGGUUUUUUCCAACCUUAAUGAUUCUAUGAUCCUUGAAUACAAGAUAUUGCAUCUCAAGGACUCAUCUCCAGGCUUGCUUCCUAGCAAAUCGAUCUUUUCAACUGCUUUUUCUUGCUAGUUGAGCCUUUAUGCUGGUCUUUUCACGCAAAAACCAGCGAGGAGUCUGGGGAGUGAGGGCAACAUCCUUUCAGAGCACAUCUUUCAUGGAUGAGUGCAAUACUUUGUUUUGAAAAAGCAAAAAUCAGUGAGUGUGACAAAGAGCCGCUCCCAAAGCUGCAGCUGCCUUCUGAGCAGCAGGUAAGUUCUGUGGCUGAUGAGCAGGGAAGCCACAGGAAAGCAGUUAUCAUGGCAUCAGUGUGAGAUCAGAGUGCCUUUUGCUUGAAGCGCUGAGAGAAGGCAAAGAGGGGAGGAGAGGUUUUGCAUUGGCUGUGCCAAUCUGAGCCUUGUUUGCUCUGCAUUUGAGAGGUCUGAGAGGGAGAGUUAGCAUUUCUGAGUGCAUUUUUGAGCAGCAGUUCUUCUACUCUGAAGUUGGCCCUGAGUAGACUGGGUCCAUCACCUCAGUCCAUCAUCUCUCCACCUCGAGGGAAGCAUGAGAUCCUCUUCCUUGGCUGCUCCAUGCUGUGUGGAGGAGCUGAGGAGGGGUAGGAAGGAAGUUAAUGGGAAAUUAAUGGCAAGCAGGGCAGGAAAAAUGAGAUUGGAGGAGAGCGAUAAGAAGGGGUUUCCUGGGUCAUGGAGUACACUGCUGAGAUACACAAACAAAGUACAGAUCGAUUAAUUAAAAUGGGAGUACUUAAAAAUGAGUUAAUUAAAGAUUAAUUGAUUAAUAAUUGGUUACAUAAUUUGUAAUCACUAUAAUUACAUUAAUUGAUUAAUUAGAAGUAACAUCUAUUAAAAUGUAUCAAGCUUUAGGUCUGGUUGGUGAGUUCACUCUCACUGAUUUAUGUAUUCUUCUGGUUCCUUUCCCUUGCCUGACAACUGCAAACUUUCCUAAAAUUCUGGCUAAGUUGAUUCGUGACCACAUUUAUCUGGUUUGUUCUUGUUCCCAUCUAGAGAAGAGUAUGUACGUAGCCUGACUCAGUGUGAUGGCUCUGCCAGCUGUGCUGUGUGACCUCCAAGUGCAAAGGUGACCACAGCCAUCUGCCUGCCCCUGCCCUCAUGGGGUGCUGGGGUCAGAAUGAAACCAGAAGCACGGUGCUGCUAACUCUUAUCAGGGAGGUCAAUACUGCCCUACAUCCCCCAUCUCCCAAGUGACAAAUUAGCCCUCGACUCUUUAAUUUAUGCAUUCCAAUUUCAUGUCCUUUGUGGAGCCAGGAGUUGGACUUGAUGUUCCUUAUGGGACCCUUCCAACUUGGGGUAUUCUAUGAUUCCACCAUAAAAUGGAAGGAGGUUCUGUACCCUAUGGUAGAGACCAAUUUCCAGCCACAGAACAUGACUUUCCUAAUUCCUCCUGUAACAUGGACAGGUAACGUGGACUCCUGGUUGUAUAUUAGAAAAAGCUUCCUCUCAGAAAGAGUGGUCAGGCACUGGAAUGGGCUGCUGUCCCUGGAGGUGUUCAAGAAACGUGAAGAUGUGGUAUUUAGGGACAUGGUUUAGUGGGCAAUAUUGGAGGUAGGUGAACGGUUGGACUAGAUGAUCUUAGAGAUCUUUCUGAACCUUAAUCAUUCUAUGAUUCUGGUCCUGUAGAUGGUGACAAUCCAGAGAAGUAGCAGGAUGUGGUCACUGUGAAUGUGGCCAGUAUCUUGGUAGGUAUCUCCAGGCUGUGAAUGCCUACCCUAAACUGCUUUGCAUCAUUUGACCUGACAGCCCGCAAGUAGCAAGAUCUCAUUUAUUCAGCUGGCAUGUGGGGCUGUGAACCUAUCUGCCAACAUUCACAAGAUGUUUCAUGGUGACAGUAAUUACUGUAAUCAGUCCCUUUAGUAGCAGGCUUGAAGCCUACUCUUUCCAUUGGCAUGGUUGAUCUGACUGCAGAAUAAAUCACGUGUUAACAGCUGGACUAAAAAUCCACCCACAGAUGUUGCUUAAUAGGAGCCUGAGUAAGUCCUCCCACUGCUGGUACAUUUAGUACUCCUAGAACAGGCAGGUGUAUAAUCUAGGAAAUUUUCCAGUUCGGCCCUUGGAGACAUGAAUCAUUAAUGUUCACUGCUAAGAAAUAAGGUCCUUUUUACCCAUAGGGGGAAAAAAAUGAAAGACCACGAACUCAGAAAAAUGGGGUAGGACACCUGGGAGGAAACAGCCACUUUUUCUUUACGCCAAAGGUAGCUAUGGGCUUUCAGUAUAAGAAAUAAUGCAGUGGUCUCUCCCUGUACUCUGAUACUUUUUCAUGUGUUAUCUGAAGCACUCGCAGUGCCUGCAAGCUGCGGUCAGAGGCGUCAGGUUGUGAAUCAACUGAAAUAGUUACGGACUGCUGCUGGUGGAAGUGUGCUCACAGAGCUCACUGCUGUGGCUGAACCGUGCCAGUUCUUGAAGGAAAUGCUCAUGGACUCACCUG